rnacentral:rRNA from 1 species
CACCGCGGUUAUACGAGAGGCCCAAGCUGAUAGAUACCGGCGUAAAGCGUGGUUAGGAGUACUUAAAAAUUAAAGUCGAAUGUCUCCAAGGCUGUUAUACGCAACCGGAAACUAGAAGAACAACAACGAAAGUGACUUUACAAUUUCUGAACCCACGAAAGCUAAGGCA